rnacentral:rRNA from 1 species
AUUGAACGCUGGCGGCAUGCCUUACACAUGCAAGUCGAACGGUAACAGGGAGCUUGCUCCGCUGACGAGUGGCGAACGGGUGAGUAAUGUAUCGGAACGUACCUUUUAGUGGGGGAUAACGUAGCGAAAGUUACGCUAAUACCGCAUAUUCUCUGAGGAGGAAAGCAGGGGACCUUCGGGCCUUGCGCUAAUAGAGCGGCUGAGAUCAGAUUAGCUAGUUGGUGAGGUAAAGGCUCACCAAGGCGACGAUCUGUAGCGGGUCUGAGAGGAUGACGCGCCCCACUGGAAGUGAGACGCGGUCCAGACCCGUACGGGAGGCAGGAGUGGCGAAUUUUGGACGAUGGGGGGAACCCUGAUCCAGCCAUGCCGCGUGAGUGAAGAAGGCCUUCGCGUUGUAAAGCUCGUUCGGGCUGGAAAAAAUCGCAUGGGUUAAUACCCUGUGUGGAUGAUGGUACCGGAAUAAGAAGCACCGGCUAACUACAUGCCAGCCGCCGCGGUAAGAC